UCUUGGGUAGUUCAAUGGUAGAGCAUCUGGCUGUUAACCAGAGAGUUGCAAGUUCGAGUCUUGCCCCAAGAGCCA
rnacentral:tRNA from 1 species